rnacentral:rRNA from 1 species
GGCUAUCAUGCAAGUCGAGCGCGCCCUUCGGGGUGAGCGGCGGACGGGUGAGUAACGUUGGGAAUAUGCCCUUCUCUAAGGAAUAGCCUCUGGACCCGGAGAGUAAUACCUUAUACGCCCUUUGGGGGAAAGAUUUAUCGGAGAAGGAUUAGCCCGCGUUAGAUUAGGUAGUUGGUGGGGUAAUGGCCUACCAAGCCUACGAUCUAUAGCUGGUUUGAGAGGAUGAUCAGCCACACUGGGACUGAGACACGGCCCAGACUCCUACGGGAGGCAGCAGUAGGGAAUCUUAGACAAUGGGGGCAACCCUGAUCUAGCCAUGCCGCGUGUGUGAUGAAGGCCCUAGGGUCGUAAAGCACUUUCGCCAGAGAUGAUAAUGACAGUAUCUGGUAAAGAAACCCCGGCUAACUCCGUGCCAGCAGCCGCGGUAAUACGGAGGGGGUUAGCGUUGUUCGGAAUUACUGGGCGUAAAGCGCACGUAGGCGGAUUAGUAAGUUAGAGGUGAAAUCCCAGGGCUCAACCCUGGAACUGCCUUUAAUACUGCUAGUCUUGAGUUCGAGAGAGGUAAGUGGAAUUCCGAGUGUAGAGGUGAAAUUCGUAGA